UCCGGUUGUUCUUUGCGCGGGUUCCGGAAGUCGUUCAAGGGCACUUCCGGGCGGCUGAGGCAGCAGUGGGGUGAACUUGAGCGGCUGGCUGCGAGCUGCGAAUCUCAGCGUGCACUCCGGUGGGGCCCUGAGGACAGACGCAAUUCCGUUGGAGUUUUGCUUUCUCAGCUCCAUCCCUGGAGGCUUUGGAUGAUGUCUGUGCAUUCCCAGUGUCAUCCCACCGUCGUUUGUGCCCAAUCUGGGUGAAAAAUGGGGUGAAGUGCUGUGAGGAAGGGCAAAGCAGGGGGAAAGGUGAUGGACGACUUUGCAGAGAGAGGAGGCUGACCCCAAGGAACAAGAAAACACGACCUCUGCUGUAGUUCUGAGUGCCCAGAAAUGCAGACACAGCCUCUCUCCAUUGCCCACUUUCAAUGGGGCAAAGUGAAUAUCAGGGCUCAUUGUUCCCCUCCGGCCUCCUGCGUGGCAAAUGAGCAACAGCAGAGCUCCAGUGGCUCCAAUACAGUGAUUGGGGUCAUGGCUGCUGUGUGAAUAAAGGGCUGUGAGCUGUCA